GUCGGACUUCGCCCGGAGGGGGCUGGGGCCGGAUCCCCCCCCCGAUCCGGGGCUCGUGACCCGCGGCUUGUUCGCGCCUGCCGGCUUCGGCUGCCUCGGGGCUGCGCGAAGGGCUGAUCCUGCUGCUGCUGCUGCCACCGCUGCCCUCCUGCAGGGGCCCCGCCUGGCCUGCACCCCAAGGGAUGUGCGACUUCGCUGCCCGGGAGAAGCCGGACUCUGCUGCCCGGAGAAGAUGACUCAGAGCCACGUGGGCAUCAACAGGGACUAUGGCAACUGGGAGUGGAGCGCCGCUGAUGCGGGCGAGCGGGCCAGGCUGUUGCAGAGCCCCAGCGCGGAGGAGCCCCGGCCGGCCACCACCUCCAUGCUGGGUGCCGUCUUCAUCGUCGUGAACGCCGCGCUUGGUGCGGGCCUGCUCAACUUCCCAGCAGCCUUCCAGAUGGCCGGCGGAGUGGCCGCUGGAAUCGCCAUGCAGACGGGGCUGCUGCUCUUCAUUAUUGGUGGGCUGGUCAUCCUGGCCUACUGUUCCCAGGCCAGUAACGAACGCACCUACCAGGAAGUGGUAUGGGCUGUUUGUGGCCGAGUCCUGGGUGUGCUGUGUGAGGUGGCCAUCGUGGUCUACACCUUUGGCACCUGCAUCGCCUUCCUCAUUAUCAUCGGGGAUCAGCAGGACAAGAUCAUUCCAGUGCUGGUAAAGAGCUGUGCCACAGAAGGGAGGAGCUGCUGGUUCACGGAUCGCAAAUGCACAAUCAGCCUCACGGCCAUUCUCUUCAUCCUUCCACUGUCCGUCCCCAAAGAAAUUGGCUUCCAGAAAUAUGCCAGCUGCUUGAGUGUGAUCGGGACCUGGUACGUCACAAUUGUCGUCAUUAUAAAGUAUUUUUGGCCUGAUCAGGUGAUCUCCCCCGAGAUAAUCACCACCAGCCGCCCUUCUUCCUGGGUGUCUGUUUUCAACGCCAUGCCCACCAUUUGCUUUGGUUUCCAGUGCCACGUCAGCAGCGUGCCCAUCUUCAACAGCAUGAAGUGCCCGCAGGUAAGGACCUGGGGAGUCGUCGUGACGGCAGCCAUGGUCAUCGCCCUCUUUGUCUACAUGGGCACAGGCGUCUGUGGCUUCCUGACCUUCGGUGAGAGUGUGCAGCCGGACGUGCUGCUCUCCUACCCCUCGGACGACAUCCCGGUCGCCUUCGCGAGGGCCUUCAUCAUCCUCUCGGUCCUGACUUCUUACCCGAUCCUGCACUUCUGUGGAAGAGCCGUCCUGGAAGGUCUCUGGCUGCGCUACAAAGGGGAAAGCAUGGACGAAGACGCGAGCCGGGAGAGACGCCGACGCCUAUUGCAGACCUUCUGCUGGUUCCUCCUCACCCUCCUCCUGGCCUUGUUCAUUCCGGACAUCGGCAGGGUCAUCUCGGUCAUUGGGGGGCUGGCCGCCUGCUUCAUCUUUGUCUUCCCAGGCCUCUGCCUCAUCCACACCAAGCUUUCCGAAGUCCAGGGAGCCGGAGGAGUCAGCUGGUGGAUGGUGGUCGGCUAUGGGAUAUUCAUGGUUGUCCUCGGCGCUUUCAUCUUCGGACAGACAACGGCCAAUGCCAUCUCCAUGGAUCUCAGGAAGUGACCCCCCAACUCUACUUCACUGGAUCUGGACAGUCUCCUGGGGACUUUUAAGCAGCCAAAUUAUUGGACCCUCCGGUUUGGGGGAUACCUCGGCAUUGACAAAGCACGAGGGUCCUUUUCUUUCUCCGGUCAAAUCGCUUCUCUGGUUUCCAGUUGCCCUUGGUGGGAGGGCUGUUGGCUUUUACCUGUUGCCCCCCCCCCCACACACACACAAAAGAAAGAGGCCUGUGGACUUCAGCCGCUGAGGAGGAGGUCUCUUCAUUUAGCCGAGGAGAUCAGCUGCUCUGUUUGGACCAAGGAUGGAAUAAAGUGAAUGCAUUUGAUUGUGAUUGUUGUGACAUCAAAUAUGUGAAGGAAGGGUCGCUUGCAGGUCAGCAUGUGAGAAGAGCAUUGAGCAAUUUUAGUGGGGAAAAGGAUCCGUCUCCACAUUAAGCUGCUUUUGCUUUUCGUGUCUGAAACUGAAUCUUGCAAAACAAAGCAAACA